rnacentral:misc_RNA from 1 species
CCAGCUUCCUAGUUGAUGUCGAUUUUGCUUUCCUCGCCAAGUGGCUCAACAUUAGAAGCUGGAUGACAUAGGGACCUACCAUUGUCAGCUUUUUAAUCCCCACCAGUUUACCAUCCUUGGUGAACCAGGCCACCGCUUCUCAGAUCUAGCCAAAUCUUUCAUUCAAACCCUCUACAUGCGAGUCCUAAGAUCUGGCAAACAAGACAAACAAAACAAAAUUAUGGACAACUAAACUAGAAAAAGGGGAGAGAAACCCUUUACCAGGCCAAACAAACCACCAUCCCUUGCCCAAAAGGGCAAGGGAGGCCACCGGAAAGAGAACUCGAGACUGAAAAAGAAAGGAAACUAUAAAGAGAUUUUUUCUCUCUAGAAGGACUAGAGAGUGCUCUGCUCCAAUUAGUUAAUAAGAUUUGAUGACCAGAGAGAGCUCGGCUCCAAUUACUUAAGAUUUGAUUAACUAUGUACUAAAAACAUAA